GAAAUGCGAUAAGUAAGGUGAAUUGCAGAAUUCAGUGAAUCAUCGAAUCUUUGAACGCACCUUGCGCUCCUUGGUAUUCCUUGGAGCAUGCCUGUCUGAGUAUCAUGAAAUCUUCAAAGUAAAUCUUUUGUUAACUCAAUUGGUUUCUACUUUGGUAUUGGAGGUCUUUGCAGCUUCACACCUGCUCCUCUUUGUUCAUUAGCUGGAUCUCAGUGUUAUGCUUGGUUCCACUCGGCGUGAUAAGUUAUCUAUCGCUGAGGACACUGUAAAAGGUGGCCAAGGUAAAUGCAGAUGAACCGCUUCUAAUAGUCCAUUGACUUGGACAAUACUUUUAUGAUCUGAUCUCAAAACAGGUAGGACUACCCGCUGAACUUAAGC
rnacentral:misc_RNA from 1 species